rnacentral:rRNA from 1 species
CUACGUGCCAGCAGCCGCGGUAAUACGGAAGGUCCUGGCGUUAUCCGGAUUUAUUGGGUUUAAAGGGAGCGUAGGCUGGAGAUUAAGUGUGUUGUGAAAUGUAGACGCUCAACGUCUGACUUGCAGCGCAUACUGGUUUCCUUGAGUACGCACAACGUUGGCGGAAUUCGUCGUGUAGCGGUGAAAUGCUUAGAUAUGACGAAGAACUCCGAUUGCGAAGGCAGCUGACGGGAGCGCAACUGACGCUGAAGCUCGAAGGUGCGGGUAUCGAACAGGAUUAGAUACCCUGGUAGUCCGCACAGUAAACGAUGGAUGCCCGCUGUUGGUACGUGGUAUCAGCGGCUAAGCGAAAGCAUUAAGCAUCCCACCUGGGGAGUACGCCGGCAACGGUGAAACUCAAAGGAAUUGACGGGGGCCCGCACAAGCGGAGGAACAUGUGGUUUAAUUCGAUGAUACGCGAGGAACCUUACCCGGGCUUAAUUGCAGAGGAAGUAUUUAGAGAUAAUGACG